ACUCCUACGGGAGGCAGCAGUGGGGAAUAUUGCACAAUGGGGGAAACCCUGAUGCAGCCAUGCCGCGUGUGUGAAGAAGGCCUUCGGGUUGUAAAGUACUUUCAGCAGUGAGGAAGGUGGGUAUGUUAAUAGCAUACUUCAUUUGACGUUAGCUGCAGAAGAAGCCACCGGCUAACUCCGUGCCAGCAGCCGCGGUAAUACGGAGGGUGCGAGCGUUAAUCGGAAUUACUGGGCGUAAAGCGCAUGCAGGUGGUUUGUUAAGUCAGAUGUGAAAGCCCGGGGCUCAACCUCGGAAUUGCAUUUG
rnacentral:rRNA from 1 species